rnacentral:ncRNA from 1 species
AAGAUAAAAAAGAAUACCUUGAUACUUAAAGACGAAGAAAGACGUUUUAAAUUACGAAAUACUUUAAUUAGCUAUAUGCAAUAAAUUAAAGAUCUCUGAAUAGGAGGAAUAUACCUUAUAAUUUAAUAAAAAAAGAAAACUUAGAGAACUGAACCAUCUUAGUAUCUAAAGGAAAAAAAAUAACAAAAAUUCCCUAAGUAGUGGCGAGCGAAAUGGGAUAAAUAUAUUUAUUUAAUAUAUUUAUUUUUAAAUAAGUAAAUUAGAAAAUAAUUCUGAUUGAAGAAGCAAGAACCUCCUUGCAAAAUAAAAUACUUUAAAGUGAUCGAUAGUGGACUAGUACCGUAAGGGAAAGGUGAAAAGAUCCCCGGAAGGGAAGUGAAAAGAACAUGAAAUUUUUUAUCUUACAAUCUAUAGAAGGAUUAAAGAAUCUAACUAUAUGCCUGUUGAAGAAGGAGCUGACGAGUCUUAAUUAUUUUAAGCAUUUGGUUAAUUUUAUUUAAUUGAAGCCAGAGUUAACGCGAGUUAUUAUAAUAUAAUAACAAUUGCUUAUAAUUAAGAACCCGAACCCGGAUGAAUUAAUCUUGUCCAGAAUGAAAUAUAGAUAAGUCUAUAUAGAGGUUCGAACUGGUUGAUAUUGCAAAAUCAUCAGAAGAGAUGAGAUUAGCGGUGAAAUGCUUAUCGAAUUCGGAGCUAGCUGGUUCUCCUCGAAAUGCGUUGAGGCGCAGCUGUUACUUAAUAUAUAAUUAAGGUGGUAAAGCACUAUAUUUAAUAUUUAUUAUAUUUAUAUUAUAAAAAUUAUAUAUAAACUAAUAAUACCUAUUAUAUUAAAAAGUAAUAAGUGAGACUAUUGGGGAAAAUCUCAAUUGUCUAAAAGGAAACAACCUACAUCAUAAGUUAAGGUUUUAAAAAGUAUUAAAAAUAAAAAGAAAUUUAAUUUCAUUUAUAUUUAGGAGGUUAGCUUAGAAGCAGCUAUCCUUUAAAGAGUGCGUAAUAGCUCGCUAAAUUAGAAAUUAUGUACUGAAAAUGGUAAAAAAAAUACUUUACCGAAACUAUGAGAUUUAUAUUUAAAUCGAUAGAGGAGCGUUCUAUAUUUAAGAAGUAAAAAUGUAAAUUUUUAUGGAAAAAAUAGAAGUGAAAAUGUCAGCUUAAGUAGCAUAAAUAUUAGUAAAAUCUAAUA